rnacentral:ncRNA from 1 species
UUUAAACCUUUGAAGAGAAUAGUAACAUAAUAUGUGGUUGAAGAGAGUGGAUGGCUGGUGAAAAUCCAUACCAUGUAUUUUGUGAAUCCGCCUCUGAAUAGGGAUUGUGAUGAGCAAUACGGUAAAUCCGUUAAAUUUGUAAGUGGACCUAUUAUUAGGUCAAAUAGGGUGGCAACGCGGAGUCUUUUCGUCCCUACA